rnacentral:rRNA from 1 species
UACGGGGGGGGCAAGCGUUGUUCGGAAUUACUGGGCGUAAAGGGUUUGUAGGUGGCCCGCUAAGUCACACGUGAAAUCCCUCAGCUUAACUGGGGAACUGCGUGUGAGACUGGCAGGCUCGAGGGCAGGAGAGGAACGCGGAAUUCCAGGUGUAGCGGUGAAAUGCGUAGAUAUCGGGAGGAACACCAGUGGCGAAGGCGACUUCCUGGCCUGUUCUUGACGCUGAGGCGCGAAAGCUAGGGGAGCAAACGGG